GAGAACCCGGGUACUGAUCAGUGAAGUGCAGAGAGAUGAAUAAUUUUCCAAAAUUUUCAAAUGCCUUUUCUCCGAAAACCUGAUCGAGCACAACAUCAUUGAUCAGAUCCCCCGCAACCUCCUUCGACUCCGUGACCACUGCCAGAUCCUCCGCAACCCACUUCCUCCCAUUCGGUGGCCCUCCUACCAGGGUAGCAUACCUCUGCAAAUCCCUCGCCUCCUUAAGCAUCGUCUUCGCCGUCUUCUGCCUCGCAACUGCCAACACCACAUGAUCCAUUGAAUCAUCAUUCAUUGCCACCUCAAACGAGAUCGUAUCCCUCUUCGGAAACACCAGAUCCAGCAUCCUAGAUAUCAGAUCAUGGCGGCUCCUCAACUCCAUUGUCGCAAGCAGG
rnacentral:misc_RNA from 1 species